CUAUAGCGUUGACUUAUUGUUCAAAAGUAUCAUUAGAAGGUAGUAUUGCGAAGUUUACUUGUAAAUACCAAGGUUUUUACUUACCAUGGGUGACGGCUAUGCCAACAAAAUAAGAUUUCAAAUUUGUUACCAACGUGCCGACAAAAAUCACAGUUAUAUUUGUACAUAUAAUAGUAAUUCUGAUAUACAUAUAACCAUGAAAGCUAUAAAACUAAAAAUUAGAGGGUAAUAAAUAAUAAAUCCUGUUGUAAAAUAUUUAUCAAUGUUUUUAAAACAAGUUGUUUAUUUACAACAUAACAAUACAAGCAACAAAGAUCUUUUUAA